rnacentral:rRNA from 1 species
ACGAACGCUGGCGGCAGGCCUAACACAUGCAAGUCGAACGCUCCGCAAGGGGAGUGGCGCACGGGUGAGUAACGCGUGGGAAUCUACCUAUUAGUAAGGAAUAACAGUUGGAAACGACUGCUAAUACCUUAUACGCCCUACGGGGGAAAGAUUUAUCGCUAAUAGAUGAGCCCGCGUAAGAUUAGCUAGUUGGUGAGGUAAUGGCUCACCAAGGCUACGAUCUUUAGCUGGUCUGAGAGGAUGAUCAGCCACACUGGAACUGAGACACGGUCCAGACUCCUACGGGAGGCAGCAGUGGGGAAUAUUGGACAAUGGGCGAAAGCCUGAUCCAGCCAUGCCGCGUGUGUGAUGAAGGCCUUAGGGUUGUAAAGCACUUUCGCCGCCGAGGAUAAUGACGGUAAGCGGAUAAGAAGCCCCGGCUAACUUCGU